rnacentral:misc_RNA from 1 species
AAGACUAUAGACCUGCGGAGUACCUGCGGAGGGAUCAUUAAAGAGUUGCUUAUAACUCCUAAACCCAUGUGAACUUACCUUUUGUUGCCUCGGCAGGUCGCGUCUAUCCUGUUUGUCCUGCCCUGCAGGACCUACCCGGUAGAUGACGGGAUAGCCUGCCGAUGGCCCCGAGCAAACUUUGUGAUAACAUUGUAACUCUGAAGUUCUAACAAAAUCAGUUAAAACUUUUAACAAUGGAUC